rnacentral:rRNA from 1 species
AGGACGAACGCUGGCGGCGUGCUUAACACAUGCAAGUCGAACGGUGAACCAGGGCUUGCCCUGGGGAUCAGUGGCGAACGGGUGAGUAACACGUGACCAACCUGCCCCUAACUCUGGGAUAACCCCGGGAAACCGGAGCUAAUACCGGAUACGAGACCGAGUGGCAUCACACGGUCUGGAAAGUUUUUCGGUUAGGGAUGGGGUCGCGGCCUAUCAGCUUGUUGGUGGGGUAAUGGCCUACCAAGGCGACGACGGGUAG